UCAAAAUCAUUAAAAAAACACAGGGUUGAGCUUAUCAUCAUGCCUUAAAUCAAAGUGUUUUUGACUUAGAGAAUCUACAUUAUUAACACCAUAUACAUAAGACACAUCAUUAAGAUACUUCAUAUAAUUAUAAACAUUAAAUUUUAUAAUUUCUCCAUCAAACUCUGUAGUGAAUGUAUCAUCCUGCACAUCUAUCUUCGUCUUGGCCAUACUAAAAAAAGGUAUUCUUAGCAAAAUAUCAUAGAAAUUAGAUGAUUUAUCAUUUUUCAUAUCUGACACAUAAAAAUCAGUAAGGAAAAUAAGAUUGUCAACUUUGACAAGCACAUCCUCUAAAACUCAUUUAGGAUAAACAAUUGAUUUAUCAGUUAGCUGAAUUAUAAUACCUGAUUUUUUUAAAUGACCAUUCUUUAACCUUAAAUAAAUGGACAAAGGCAUGAUAUUUAUUGAUGGUCCUAAAUCACACAUGACUUUACUUAUCCAUAAAGUGCCUAUCUUAUAAGAAAUAACAAACAUAUCAUUGUCAUUGCAUUUAGAGGGUAGUUUUCUAUGAAUUAUAACUGAAACAUUUUCCACCAUACUUACCAUUUCAUUGUAGCUUAGUUUUUUCUUGUUGGUGCAUAACUCAUUUAAAAACUUGACAUAUUGAGGUAUUUGCUUAAUUGUAUUGAAUAAAAUAAUGUUUAUCUCGACCUUAUGGAAAGUUUCUAGGAUCUCAUUUUCUUAUUUUUCCUUCCUUAAUUUUGCAAACCUUUCCAAAAAUGGAGGGAUUAUGAACAAUGUUGGCUGGUCAGAAUCUGGCUCAGCUCUAUCGGCCUUAUCAUCAAUAAUUACUUCUGGUUCUGUGCCUUUCUAUAAGCCUUGCCCAAGACUUAAUCGACGGAGAUUUUCCAGCAAUUCCUUACCAUUUCUCAGCAUAAUAACACUUACAUUUUGCCUUAGAUUAAUCACAGUAUGAGAUAGUAGUUUGCCUUAGGAUUCCAACUUACUCAUAAAUGUUGCUAAUUGGCUCACUUGUAUCUCCAAAUUUUGAAUGUUUGCUCUUGUCUCCUGUUGAAAUUAUUGAGUAUUAGUAACAAGUGAUUUAACAAUUUUUCAAGAGACAUACCUCGUUUUGGAGAUGUUGGUUAUUGUUGUGGAGGUGAUCUUGACUAAUAUUUUUGAAAACUGGGUUCUCUUUGCUCCAUAACUAAAGUUAUAAUGAUCCCUCCAUCCUAGAUUAUAUGUAUUGAAAAAUGGGUCAUAUCUCAUUUGUGGUUGACUGAAAAAUUCUCAUAUGGCGUAAACAUGCUAUCGGUCAUCUUUUUGAAGUAUGAGAUACAUGUCUGAAUGAUUCCAGAAUGCGUAUAAAUCCCACAAACUCUAACCUAUUGUGUAUUACCUGUA
rnacentral:lncRNA from 1 species